rnacentral:rRNA from 2 species
GGUCCGAGCUUGAAAGAUGGCUUCGGCUAUCACUUUUGGAUGGUCCCGCGGCGUAUUAGCUAGAUGGUGGGGUAACGGCUCACCAUGGCAAUGAUACGUAGCCGACCUGAGAGGGUAAUCGGCCACAUUGGGACUGAGACACGGCCCAAACUCCUACGGGAGGCAGCAGUAGGGAAUCUUCCACAAUGGACGAAAGUCUGAUGGAGCAACGCCGCGUGAGUGAAGAAGGGUUUCGGCUCGUAAAACUCUGUUGUUAAAGAAGAACAUAUCUGAGAGUAACUGUUCAGGUAUUGACGGUAUUUAACCAGAAAGCCACGGCUAACUACGUGCCAGCAGCCGCGGUAAUACGUAGGUGGCAAGCGUUGUCCGGAUUUAUUGGGCGUAAAGCGAGCGCAGGCGGUUUUUUAAGUCUGAUGUGAAAGCCUUCGGCUCAACCGAAGAAGUGCAUCGGAAACUGGGAAACUUGAGUGCAGAAGAGGACAGUGGAACUCCAUGUGUAGCGGUGAAAUGCGUAGAUAUAUGGAAGAACACCAGUGGCGAAGGCGGCUGUCUGGUCUGUAACUGACGCUGAGGCUCGAAAGUAUGGGUAGCAAACAGGAUUAGAUACCCUGGUAGUCCAUACCGUAAACGAUGAAUGCUAAGUGUUGGAGGGUUUCCGCCCUUCAGUGCUGCAGCUAACGCAUUAAGCAUUCCGCCGGGGGAGUACGGCCGCAAGGCUGAAACUCAAAGGAAUUGACGGGGGCCCGCACAAGCGGUGGAGCAGGUGGUUUAAUUCGAAGCUACGCGAAGAACCUUACCAGGUCUUGACAUACUAUGCAAAUCUAAAAAUUAAGACUUUCCCUUCGGGGAAUGGAUACAGGUGGGGCAGGGUUGUCCUCCACUCCGUGCCGGGGUAAUGUGGGUUAAUUCC